rnacentral:rRNA from 1 species
AAGCAUCGGCUAACCCCGUGCCAGCAGCCGCGGUAAUACGGAGGAUGCGAGCGUUAUCCGGAUUUAUUGGGUUUAAAGGGUGCGUAGGCGGAUAGAUAAGUCAGUGGUGAAAUUCUGCAGCUUAACUGUAGACUUGCCGUUGAUACUGUCAGUCUUGAGUAUGGUCAAGGCAGGCGGAAUGUGUAAUGUAGCGGUGAAAUGCUUAGAUAUUACACAGAACACCGAUUGCGAAGGCAGCUUGCUGGGCCAUUACUGACGCUGAUGCACGAAAGCGUGGGGAUCGAACAGGAUUAGAUACCCUGGUAGUCCACGCCGUAAACGAUGAUCACUCGCUGUUGGCGAUACACAGUCAGCGGCUAAGCAAAAGCAUUAAGUGAUCCACCUGGGGAGUACGGCCGCAAGGCUGAAACUCGAAGGAAUUGACGGGGGCCCGCACAAGCGGAGGAACAUGUGGUUUAAUUCGAUGAUACGCGAGGAACCUUACCUGGGCUUAAAUGUAGGGUGCAUUGGUGAGAAAUCAUCAUUUUCUUCGGAACUCUCUGCAAGGUGCUGCAUGGUUGUCGUCAGCUCGUGCCGUGAGGUGUCGGGUUAAGUCCCAUAACGAGCGCAACCCUUAUCGUUAGUUGCCAGCGGGUAAUGCCGGGGACUCUAGCGAAACUGCCGGUGUAAGCCGAGAGGAAGGUGGGGAUGACGUCAAAUCAGCACGGCCCUUAUGUCCAGGGCUACACACGUGUUACAAUGGCCGGUACAGAGGGCAGCUACCUGGAGACAGGAUGCGAAUCUCGAAAGCCGGUCUCAGUUCGGAUCGGAGUCUGCAACUCGACUCCGUGAAGCUGGAUUCGCUAGUAAUCGCGCAUCAGCCAUGGCGCGGUGAAUACGUUCCCGGGCCUUGCACACACCGCCCGU